UGAGCCCCGGCAGCCAGCAGUACGUCGCAGCUCUGGCGAAUAAUUAUAUAAUUAUAUUUUUUCGUGUCCGCCCCCGCCAAUAAAAAGUACAAGUCGAGCGGAAUCGGAGUUGUGUGUGUGCGCGAAGAGUGUUUCUUGCGCGAAUUAGUGUGAUUUUUCCAAACAGCAAUUAAAUCAAAGAUUGCUUGUGCUAAUUAUCUGCCCAUAAACCCGACCACUUUGCAUAUUCUAUAUGCGGGCAACUGCCUCUCCCAAAUUUUUUGUUUGUGUGACUUUUUUCCUGUGCGUUUUCGACCCAAUUUAAAAUUCAUUUUUCAUGUGUGUGUAAAUGUUGCAAAUUAGUUUAUUGUCAAUUUGUUUCUUUUUAACUGUCCACUACCGACAUAGCUAAGGCACAUUUUAAGUGUAAAACCACCAUGUUAAAUUAAGAUCAAAUAUUGUACAAUUUUGUUCUGUGAAAACGCCAUUAAGAAGUUCCCUGACAAUUAAAAUUUAAUAAAUAAAAAGAGAGCCUUCAGCAGGUGGCAAGGGUAAGAAAGGGGUCGAAGGACACACGUGCCGCAAUACCGUCAAAACAAAAUGUAUGUUUAUGUUGACUGCCUUAGGGUUUCUAGAUGUAAAUGUACAAAUUUCUUUAUGUAUGCAAAGUCCCCCUACUUGACCAAAGAGGUAUCAGCAGCCACACAAACUUAUUACAGUACGGAUAUUUUAGCAAGGGCAAGGGAACGCGCAAGAUCGGGGGUGAAUGCAGUCACCCAAGAGCAGCAGCCAACAACAGCAAUAUUAAAUACAUUUAUUGUUGCUGACGAAAUUGCGCAGUUCGAUAUUGUAGAUCUAACUGUGGGACGUUAUAGAAUAGAAUAGAAUUAACACAUAUAUGUAAAUAUUUUUCACCUUUUUCGCUGCACUGACAGCCAUCACUUUUUUUUUCUUAUAUUACCUAUAUAUAUUUAUCUCUAGAGUUUUAAGUCACUUAUCUCUAAUGAAUUCCCUAUUGCCCUCCCCCGAUCAGUGGACUGCUGUUGGGGUCGAGGUAUUGUUUAAAUUUUAAAUGAAUGCGCAGACAGAGAUGUCGGAAGAGGAGAUUCCCGCUGCCGUAAAGUGACGUAUGCGCUGCCUAUGACUGAAAAACUGCAGUCAACAGGCAGACUCAUACAAUAUUUUUAAGUAAAAUAGCAGCCCCAUGAAAUUGUAAUAUUAUGCUAAGUAUAGUAUAAAUACAAUAAAAUCCACCUUAUCGUAACGUAUACUGGCUCCCCUGAACCUGCUGGUUCAGGUCCAGGAUGGAGUUGGUUUACGUUACGAUUAGACACUUUCGUAUUGCCACCGCAGCAUACGACAAACAAAAAAAAAAACCUAUUGUUGAAAAGUGAAAAAACGUGGGGAAGGCCGCAGCCUCUGCUGCUCCCCCCCACCUGUCAGUGACGUUUGCUUACAUAGCAAAACAAUUAAAAACAAUAAAAACAAUUCAAAAUGGUUCGGAAACCUGGCCCAAAGUCCAAAAAGACCAAUGCUGCUUCGAGUGCAGCCUCAUCGGACAACGAAAAUAGCG
rnacentral:lncRNA from 1 species